UCUGUUUUCUAUUGACGUUCAUUUGGAUAAAUCCAUAACAAUGCGCUGAUAAUGCCCGAUUUUGCCUGGAAGAGCUAGAAAAGUUUCCCUUAUUCUCAGGCCACUCGGGACUGGGGAUCGCAUUGCAUAUCAAGCACUAGGAUAGUUAACUAGCUAAAUAGUUUGUUGCUAGCAAAUCUGCCGAAUUAAAAAAAACAGUUGCUGAAAACAGCUGGUCAACCUAGAAACAUGUGGGAGGAUUUGACAGCAGAGUGCCUCUUGCGUCAUGACUGCAACAGUAGGGACCAGAGAAAUGCAUGUUGAUCACUCACCACGUUAGUUCACCAGAUGCUCCAAAACAAUAUGUCUCUGCAAAAACCAAUCAAUGCCUAGGUAGCUAGCUUUUUUCGUCGUUGGACCUGCGUUUACAAUGUAUCCCAUUUCGGUUUGUUUAGUUGUUAGUUUAUCUUGUUGUAACUUUGUAGCAAGUACGGUCUGCAUCUGUAGGCGCAUAUUGAAAGGUGUCCCGUUAUCUGGAUUUAAUGUUCAUUCUAGAAUGCUCUUCUAACCAAUCAGAAACGUGUAUUAAACAAUACUGUGAUAUCAUUUAUAUAUUAUGUCGUUCCCAGCCUGCUCUCAUGGGCUGGGGACGAGGUUUAAUUGAUAGACUAUGUGCCCUUGUUCUGAAUGCGCGGUUUGCGCCGGGAUGCAUGGGGGUGAGUAGGCGGUUCAGCGGUGGAGGGAGGCUCAAAAUGUUGUAGGAAAAAAAUGAAUACUAGUAAAUCAUCAGAUUAAAGGGGUUAUGUUUAGGUAUGGACAGCGGUGCGGCAUUCGAUUGCAAGUAAACAGCGAUAUCGUAUCUCCUUUACCCUUUUCACUGGAAGUAAGGACUCUAGAAACACACAGACAAUAUGCCAGUUGAUCUGAAUGGGUAUUGGAAAAUGAUCUCUAAUGACAACUUCGAAGAGUACUUGAAAGCCCUCGAUGUAAAUAUUGCCAUUAGGAAAAUUGCCACUUUGUUGAAGCCCGACAAAGACAUCAGUCACGAUGGUGACCACGUUGUCAUCAAGACCCUCAGUACCUUUAAGAACUACAACAUGGAUUUCCAUGUUGGAAAGGAGUUUCAUGUUGGCAAGGAGUUUGAGGAGGAUCUGUCAGGGGUCGAUGACAGAAAAUGCAUGAACAGCCUCAAUUCAGCCUCAGAACGGCUCAUAAUAAUGUCUGGAACAGAACGAAUGGAAUUGCAUCGAACACAUGGGAACCAUGGAAACCAAGUAUAUGAUGUUGUUGACAUCUUUCCAUUUAUUCCGCACUAGCCAUUACCACAUGCCCGUCCUCCCCAAUUAAGGUUCCACCAAAAUCCUGUGGUAAAAGGCAUCUGACUGCCAUAUUAUUUAGUCAAAGUGAUUCUAACAGAUGUUUGCAAUCAUUGGCCAUGAAAUUAUUCAUCAGCAGAGUGGCUCACAGGAGUCACUAAUCCCCGGAACAAUGAACAACAGUGGCCUCUGAUGGUUAGAAAUAGAACUGCAAGUACAAGUGCUUUGACUAUGGUUAUUCUCCAUAGAGGAUUUUUAAAUACAUUUUCACAGCUGUUUACCUCAAUUAAUGGGUGGGUAUUUUUUGCUUCCUACACAAACAAAUCAAUAAUUAAUUAAAAGGAUUUCUAAAAAAUCUGUUCUCUCUGCAGGAGCUGAGAGCAUGUGGAGCUAUGUGCAAACAGCUCUUCAAGAACACUUAAACCAGCCCUGGAACAACAGAACGGUACCCCUUACCUGAGAGUGCAGAGAGACACGGACACAACCCCCAACCUGAGAGUGAAGAGAGACACGGACACGACCGAAGCCUGUGACAGAGAACCACCUAUUGCACACAUCCGUCUAUCAAUCCAUCCUUUCAUCCAUCCUUCCUUAUUUCAUUCCAUCAAGACUGUUGCCUUGCCCCACCAAAGUCAAACUAUCCACAACAAGGGUGAUGUAUAUGUAGCUUCCUAACAAAAUGGAAAACUGUUUAUUAUUAACCUCCAAACGAGCUUCAAUGCCAUGCAACACUCCUUCCGUGGUCUCCAACUGCUCUUAAACGCAAGUAAAACCAAAUGCAUGCUUUUCAACCAUUCGCUGCCCACACCCUCCCACCCGACUAGCAUCACUACUAUGGACAGUUCUAACUUAGAAUGUGGACAAUUACAAAUACCUAGGUGUCUGGCUAGGUAGACUGUAAACUCUCCUUCCAGCCUCAUAUUAAACA